rnacentral:rRNA from 1 species
UAGGGAAUCUUCCGCAAUGGGCGAAAGCCUGGCGGAGCAACGCCGCGUGAGUGAUGAAGGUCUUCGGAUCGUAAAACUCUGUUAUUAGGGAAGAACAAAUGUGUAAGUAACUAUGUACGUCUUGACGGUACCUAAUCAGAAAGCCACGGCUAACUACGUGCCAGCAGCCGCGGUAAUACGUAGGUGGCAAGCGUUAUCCGGAAUUAUUGGGUGUAAAGCGCGCGUAGGCGGUUUUUUAAGUCUGAUGUGAAAGCCCACGGCUCAACCGUGGAGGGUCAUUGGAAACUGGAAAACUUGAGUGCAGAAGAGGAAAGUGGAAUUCCAUGUGUAGCGGUGAAAUGCGCGAGGAUAUGGAGGAACACCAGUGGCGAAGGCGACUUUCUAGUCUGUAACUGACGCUGAUGUGCGAAAGCGUGGGGAUCAAACAGG